rnacentral:lncRNA from 1 species
AGAUUAACAUCAACCAACUAGGAUAAAUCAAACCUAUGGUUAAUGUAUGAAAACUUAUCAAGAAUGGACAAAGCCACAAAACAAUUGAGUGAGUGAAACUAACCAAUUAGGAUUAUUCACAAAAAUGGUCAAGAUAUGAUUAGAAUUCAAUUCAAAAGAAGUAUCAUGAAAAUGAAGUUUGAAAAAUCAGAGGCUUAAGGCCUAGGUUUCUAAUUUG